UGCAGUACUGUUUUUUCUAUUACACCUUGAGAAGAGUAGCAAUAACAGGAAAAAUGAGAAUGUACACAUGAAGUAGUGUUUUUUUCUGGGGAGACAGGAUGUUAAACUGUAUAUCCUCGAUUCCUCAUGUCUUCCUUCUGAAAACACAAUGGAAGAAGACCAAAACGGAGGAAGGAUGAGGGCACUGAGGAAAUGAACCAAAUACAAUAGACUGGUAUUUGAACAAUGCUUUAGCCUGGUCCCAGCUAUUUGUGCCAUGGGAGUUGGCAAGACAGCGCAAAGAUCUGGGACCACAUUGCCUCACAGCACAUGUAACAUCAGUGCCUACGUGACUACAUUUCAACUGGCCUAUUGCGAUAUAGGAUGUGCAUCUGUGCCAAGAUUUAAAAAUGGUUAGAUCUAUCUUGACAACUCACAUUGCAUAAAAUCAAAGUGGACCAUGUUAACAGUGAUGCAGGCUUUAAUGUGAAACCAAACAUUUAUCCAGGUAGAGCUUUUUUCUUCACAGAUUUCUACAUGUUUUGUACAUUGUUUACAAAAUCAAGGAAUAUGCUUCAAAUUUGAAAACAAAUUGGUGAGAUGCUUUAAUUGGUUCAAAAGAAGACAGACAUAAAGAAUUUGUGACCUGGGACCACAUUGCCUUAUGGCUUUGUAAGAAACAUGUCAAAAGUACAAAAAUCCCAAAUUCCCCAAAAAUAACCUUGUGAUUUACAGAGCAUGCUUGGUGUUCAGGGAAAAUAAAGACAUGGGAAUAAUAUAACUGAAACUGACAUCCCCUAUCAAGUAAUUCUGUUGUAUUAGGAACUCAAACUAUUGUCCAAUUUAGGGAGAGUGGAAAAGACAAAUGAUGUGUGGUUGAUGGAGUGGCUUGACUGCAGUCAGCUCCUCUGAACCAAAUGGUUUAGAAAAUACUCACAAAUUUUUGCUAAAGAAAAAACAGAUCAAUUUCUGUCAAAGUGCUAUGUUGUGCUGAGCCUCAUUCAUAUUAGGAUGUUAUCUUUUUCUGAAAAUCACAUUAGAAAUGUUUUCAAAACAGUGUCCUUUGAUGUUAGGCUUAUAUAAAAACUUUCCAACAGUGAGCUGGAGAAUGACCUAUUUUAGUUGCAUGGCAUUCUGUUACACAAACAUGAAAUCAGAGAUAGUGACUGCAUUCUAUUCUGGUAAAUAAAUAGGAACUUGAGUGAAAGUAAAGGCAACACUAGUUGCAGCUGUUCCCUGGCGCUAUCUGAGUUAAAGGUUGUGUUCAAUAGUCCCAAAUAGGAGGGUUGUCUAAACUUCAAUAAGAAACAUCUAUGUUCAAUUACCUUUAGCAAACAUGCACCCUAAUGAACACAACCUGAGAGUUGGCCAAACUGUGGUAUGAAUUGAAUGGUAACAGUUUUUUGUUUUUUUCAUAGGAAUUAAAAGAAACAUUCAAUAUCUGUUGUUCAGUGCAGCAACCAGUAGCUCGCUUUUGGCUUCCCUAGUCUAGUUAUAUGAUUAACAAACCAAAAGGAUUUUGCUGAAAUCUUUCAAAUAACAAAUGUGGUAAAUGAGGGCAUAAUGACCCAAGUAUGGCAAAGUAAAAAUGCAGGCUAGCUAGUUGACCUAGCCAAGCCAAAACAGCAACAAAGUUGGCAAGAGUGCAAAGAGAUCUGUGGCCAACCUAUGUGGACCCCCUUCUCAAACCUUCAUUUCCACUUUCUGUGCCUCAUCAGGGGGCUGCACUUCCAGAGCAGCAGUCUUGCGUUUGUUAAUAAGUUAUUCACCUAAUCUUACCCUAAUAUUUCCUACUUAUUUGUUAUCCAUUUUGUAUUAACUGCCUUGUCAUAAGCGAAGCUGCUGAUGAUCUCAUCGUUCGGUUAAGCAGGAAGUUGUCGACCCAGAAGGAGCUGCUGGUGUGAUGAGUCAAAGGCCCUAGCCCCCCUCCCCAAGCCCUGGGCUGUGCCUAGCCCCCCUCCCCAAGCUCUGGGCUGUGCCAAGCCCCCCUCCCCAAGCCCUGGGCUGUGCCUAGCCCCCCUCCCC
ensembl:lncRNA